rnacentral:ncRNA from 1 species
UGUCUCCUCCACCCUCCUCCUAAGGUGGAUUGAGCCCGAACUUCAUGGUUCGGGCUUUUUUUC